UUGAGUCUUGUAGAGGGGGGUAGAAUUCCAGGUGUAGCGGUGAAAUGCGUAGAGAUCUGGAGGAAUACCGGUGGCGAAGGCGGCCCCCUGGACAAAGACUGACGCUCAGGUGCGAAAGCGUGGGGAGCAAACAGGAUUAGAUACCCUGGUAGUCCACGCCGUAAACGAUGUCUACUUGGAGGUUGUGCCCUUGAGGCGUGGCUUCCGGAGCUAACGCGUUAAGUAGACCGCCUGGGGAGUACGGCCGCAAGGUUAAAACUCAAAUGAAUUGACGGGGGCCCGCACAAGCGGUGGAGCAUGUGGUUUAAUUCGAUGCAACGCGAAGAACC
rnacentral:rRNA from 3 species